CCAUAUAAGGACAUUGUAAUCUGUUAAUGUUUAAAUGCGUAUUAUAAGAUCUUUUACAAUAGUUUAUUCAUUAUUUAAUUUAUUAAAUAUGAUUAAAUGUGAAAGUUUCGAAUAUGCCAUUGACAGAUUUUUAUAUAUAUUGUACUUAAAUCUUUUUGGAUUUUAUAAUAAUAUAAUUAUCGUAGAUUUUUAUAUUUAUU
rnacentral:rRNA from 1 species